UGCUCUGGGUUUCCACACAGGGCUCCUGGAACUGUGACCAUUCCUCUGGGCUCAGCUCCCUCUGGCAAUGAUCCCCCAGCAAUCUCAGGGCACGGCCUGGCCAGGAUCCUGCAGCAGCCGGCUCUGGGAGCACCUGGAACAUCCCUCUUCUCCCAGGCAUGGAUCCUGGCACCAUUGUAAGUGCUGAAAGUCACGGACUAUAAAGAGAAAAGGUAA
rnacentral:lncRNA from 1 species